GGAAUAUUGGUCAAUGGGCGUAAGCCUGAACCAGCCAAGUAGCGUGCAGGACGACGGCCCUAUGGGUUGUAAACUGCUUUUAUGCGGGGAUAAAGUGCGCCACGUGUGGUGUUUUGUAGGUACCGCAUGAAUAAGGACCGGCUAAUUCCGUGCCAGCAGCCGCGGUAAUACGGAAGGUCCGGGCGUUAUCCGGAUUUAUUGGGUUUAAAGGGAGCGCAGGCGGGAGUCUAAGCGUGACGUGAAAUGUAGCCGCUCAACGGCUGAACUGCGUCGCGAACUGGGUUUCUUGAGUGAGUACGACGUGCACGGAAUUCGUGGUGUAGCGGUGAAAUGCUUAGAUAUCACGAAGAACCCCGAUUGCGAAGGCAGUGCACGAGUCCUUAACUGACGCUAAAGCUCGAAGGUGCGGGUAUCGAACA
rnacentral:rRNA from 1 species